GCCCAGAUAGCUCAGUCGGUAGAGCAGUGGCCUGAAGAGCCAUGUGCGGGGGUUCAAUUCCCUCUCUGGGCA